rnacentral:rRNA from 1 species
CAGUAGCCGCGGGAAAACAGAGGGGGCGAGCGUUAAUCGGAUUUACUGGGCGUAAAGCGUGCGUAGGCGGCUUCUUAAGUCGGAUGUGAAAUCCCUGAGCUUAACUUAGGAAUUGCAUUCGAUACUGGGAAGCUAGAGUAUGGGAGAGGAUGGUAGGAUUCCAGGUGUAGCGGUGAAAUGCGUAGAGAUCUGGAGGAAUACCGAUGGCGAAGGCAGCCAUCUGGCCUAAUACUGACGCUGAGGUACGAAAGCAUGGGGAGCAAACAGGAUUAGAUACCCGCGUAGUCCCUGUCUCUUAUAC